rnacentral:rRNA from 1 species
UACGUAGGGUCCGAGCGUUGUCCGGAAUUACUGGGCGUAAAGAGCUCGUAGGCGGUCUGUCGCGUCGGGAGUGAAAACUCAGGGCUUAACCCUGAGCCUGCUUCCGAUACGGGCAGACUAGAGGUAUGCAGGGGAGAACGGAAUUCCUGGUGUAGCGGUGGAAUGCGCAGAUAUCAGGAGGAACACCGGUGGCGAAGGCGGUUCUCUGGGCAUUACCUGACGCUGAGGAGCGAAAGUGUGGGGAGCGAACAGG